GACGAACGCUGGCGGCGUGCCUAAUACAUGCAAGUUGAGCGCUGAAGGUUGGUACUUGUACCAACUGGAUGAGCAGCGAACGGGUGAGUAACGCGUGGGGAAUCUGCCUUUGAGCGGGGGACAACAUUUGGAAACGAAUGCUAAUACCGCAUAAAAACUUUAAACACAAGUUUUAAGUUUGAAAGAUGCAAUUGCAUCACUCAAAGAUGAUCCCGCGUUGUAUUAGCUAGUUGGUGAGGUAAAGGCUCACCAAGGCGAUGAUACAUAGCCGACCUGAGAGGGUGAUCGGCCACAUUGGGACUGAGACACGGCCCAAACUCCUACGGGAGGCAGCAGUAGGGAAUCUUCGGCAAUGGACGAAAGGCUGACCGAGCAACGCCGCGGGAGUGAAGAAGGGUUUCGGAUCGGAAAACUCUGUUGGUAGAGAAGAACGUUGGUGAGAGUGGAAAGCUCAUAAAGUGACGGUAACUACCCAGAAAGGGACGGCUAACUACGUG
rnacentral:rRNA from 1 species